rnacentral:lncRNA from 1 species
ACCCAAGCAUCCGCCUCAAGCAGACAGGCCAGGAGUUCCCUGCCAGAUGUCAGUUCUCUUGAAAACCAAACCAUAAAGGGAAUACGCUCAGAGAGACAAGGAGCGUUUGUUUCCUCGGGCCUGCUUUCUGUCAAGCUGCUGGCUCUGUGGCCAUUGCUCAGCAGCUUCACUGUACAAGGGGAUAGGUGGAGGACUGAGGGAGACCCAGCUGGUUUCCUUGGCUUUUUCAGAUUACUGUACCUGGCCUAUGUGGCUGCUUCCCCUCCCCACACACAUGCUGAGAGUAACUGGAUUGGUGACCCCUGUUUCUUUCUUCUGGCAGAUGUGGAAGCGCCGUUCGGACCCAGUUCUCCACAUUGACCUGCGGAGGUGGGCCGACCUCAUGGUAGUGGCUCCCCUCGAUGCCAACACUCUGGGGAAGGUGGCCAGUGGCAUCUGUGACAAUUUACUUACCUGUGUCAUCCGGGCCUGGGACCUCAACAAGCCUCUACUCUUCUGCCCCGCCAUGAACACUGCCAUGUGGGAGCAUCCGCUCACUGCCCAGCAGGUGGGCCAGCUCAAGGCCUUUGGCUAUGUGGAGAUUCCCUGUGUGAGCAAGAAGCUGGUGUGUGGAGACCAAGGUCUAGGAGCCAUGGCUGAAGUGGAGAUCAUUGUGGCUAAGGUGAAGGACGUGCUCUUCCA